rnacentral:rRNA from 1 species
UCCAAGGCUAAAUACUCCUGACUGACCGAUAGUGAACCAGUACCGUGAGGGAAAGGCGAAAAGAACCCCGGCGAGGGGAGUGAAAAAGAACCUGAAACCGUGUACGUACAAGCAGUGGGAGCCUCUUUUAUGGGGUGACUGCGUACCUUUUGUAUAAUGGGUCAGCGACUUAUAUUCUGUAGCAAGGUUAACCGAAUAGGGGAGCCGAAGGGAAACCGAGUCUUAACUGGGCGUUAAGUUGCAGGGUAUAGACCCGAAACCCGGUGAUCUAGCCAUGGGCAGGUUGAAGGUUGGGUAACACUAACUGGAGGACCGAACCGACUAAUGUUGAAAAAUUAGCGGAUGACUUGUGGCUGGGGGUGAAAGGCCAAUCAAACCGGGAGAUAGCUGGUUCUCCCCGAAAGCUAUUUAGGUAGCGCCUCGUGAAUUCAUCUCCGGGGGUAGAGCACUGUUUCGGCAAGGGGGUCAUCCCGACUUACCAACCCGAUGCAAACUGCGAAUACCGGAGAAUGUUAUCACGGGAGACACACGGCGGGUGCUAACGUCCGUCGUGAAGAGGGAAACAACCCAGACCGCCAGCUAAGGUCCCAAAGUCAUGGUUAAGUGGGAAACGAUGUGGGAAGGCCCAGACAGCCAGGAUGUUGGCUUAGAAGCAGCCAUCAUUUAAAGAAAGCGUAAUAGCUCACUGGUCGAGUCGGCCUGCGCGGAAGAUGUAACGGGGCUAAACCAUG